rnacentral:rRNA from 1 species
GCCUACGGCCAUACCACCCUGAAAGCGCCUGAUCUCGGAAGCUAAGCAGGGACGGGCUUGGUUAGUACCUUGAUGGGAGACCGCCUGGGAAUACCAGGUGUUUUAGGCU